rnacentral:lncRNA from 1 species
GUUUAUUCCGUGGUUUCUGUCUCGACUUCCUUUCUGCCCCACCGGCUCCGAUGUCUCCCUUCGAGGAUAUUCCUGUUCUAGAGUAAGACGCCUUCCUUUUAACCACAAGCUUCUUUGUUAAUUGAUUCAACCCCUUAACUCUCCCCUCCGACAAAUCCAGCGGCUGUAUUUAAAAAAAAGAAGAUCUGAGAAACCCUGUACUACCAACAAAGGCCUUGUCUCAGAGCAUUGUAUUUACACCAAAUAAGGAUACUUGUAAUGUUUAUAUGUUAUGUAUCAUCCAUGCUCCAUGGAACCCUGCCGGGAAAAGUGACUCAGAGAUAAAGAAAUGUGUCAUAUGCAUCUGUGUAAUCUUAUGAACAAACUGUAGUCAAACUCAAGCUUGUAUAUGAAAUCCAGGAGUGUCUACGAAUAUGGAGCAAAUAUAGAAGAAAAGAAAAAAUCCCUUAUAUUUCAUCAUGUUUCCCAGCUGAGGUCUCAGAAGUAAUGUGUCAUUUUCCGUAGCGGAUCUCUGAAACUUGUCACCGGUUCAGAAAAAAAUUGAAGAAGUAUCAGUGACACAAUAAAACAAGUAUGCGUUAGGAUCCUCAGGACCCUGCAACAUUAAAAACAAUACAUCUUGACAGGCAUGAAUUAUCCAUGAGCAAUAAAGUCCCGGAUUUGGAAAAUGUGUGCAGCCAAUUCCCUCUCUGAUUUCCUCCUCCUCCUCCUCCUCCUCCUCCUCCCAGGAUUUUCCUGGGCAUCCUGGGCUUCGGCCUCUCCAUCAUGUUCUGCACCACCUUCUGCAGGGUGUGCAGCCGCAUGCGCGAGGAGCAGAUCGAGCGGGAGGUGUGGCGGCGCAGUGAGCAGGACGGCCGUCCGCCGUCCAUCUAUUUCAUCCCCUUCCCCGGCAGCGUGUCGUCGCAGCAGGACGGCGAGGACGUCCGGGCGCCUCGGUACAGCCAGGAGCUCCACACGCCCCCACACUACAGCACCGUCUUCAGCGGGCCGCCGCCUUCCUACACCGAGUUGGGAGUUAAACCCGAGGAUCUCCCCCCCGCGUACACGGAGCAAAGCGUUCCCGCGUUUCCAAUGGCGCCCCAACCUCACACGGACACGGUACAGUCGCAGGCUCGGUCACAAGCCCCGAGCCGGGACCCUCUCCAGCUCGCCCGCGCGGAGGUCAUCGAGGACAGUCGAUUGUUGCACUGAACCAUGGACUUUGAGUGAGCUGGUAACUGGAGUUUACGAUAUGCCAAAGGAACCUUUUGUUUGA